AUAACAAUACAGGACUCACAUCCGAGGCCCUGUAAUUGGAAUGAGUACACUUUAAAUCCUUUAACGAGUAACAAUUGGAGGGCAAGUCUGGUGCCAGCAGCCGCGGUAAUUCCAGCUCCAA
rnacentral:rRNA from 1 species